UACAGAGGGGGCAAGCGUUGUUCGGAAUUACUGGGCGUAAAGGGCGCGUAGGCGGCCUUCUAAGUCGAACGUGAAAUCCCCGGGCUCAACCCGGGAACUGCGUCCGAUACUGGAAGGCUUGAAUUCGGGAGAGGGAUGCGGAAUUCCAGGUGUAGCGGUGAAAUGCGUAGAUAUCUGGAGGAACACCAAUGGCGAAGGCAGCACUCUGGGACGGUACUGACGCUGAGACGCGAAAGCGUGGGGAGCAAACAGG
rnacentral:rRNA from 1 species